rnacentral:rRNA from 1 species
GUCUAGGCCAUACCACUCUGAAUAAGCCUCAUCUCAUCUGAUCUUGGAAGCUAGUCAGGGUUGCAUCUGGUUAGUUCUUGGAGAUAGCCAGGGAGUACAGGCUGCUAUAGGUU